rnacentral:rRNA from 1 species
AUUGAACGCUGGCAGCAGGCCUAACACAUGCAAGUCGAGCGGGGUUUUCGGACCUAGCAGCGGACGGGUGAGUAAUGCGUAGGAAGCUGCCCGAUAGAGGGGGAUACCAGUUGGAAACGACUGUUAAUACCGCAUAAUGUCUACGGACCAAAGUGUGGGACCUUCGGGCCACAUGCUAUCGGAUGCGCCUACGUGGGAUUAGCUAGUUGGUGAGGUAAUGGCUCACCAAGGCGACGAUCUCUAGCUGGUUUGAGAGGAUGAUCAGCCACGCUGGAACUGAGACACGGUCCAGACUCCUACGGGAGGCAGCAGUGGGGAAUAUUGGACAAUGGGCGCAAGCCUGAUCCAGCCAUGCCGCGUGUGUGAAGAAGGCCUUCGGGUUGUAAAGCACUUUCAGCGAGGAGGAAGGGGUGUGUGUUAACAGUACACACCUUUGACGUUACUCGCAGAAGAAGCACCGGCUAACUCUGUGCCAGCCGCCGCAGUAAGAC